UACGUAGGGUGCAAGCGUUGUCCGGAUUUAUUGGGCGUAAAGAGCGUGUAGGCGGUUUGGUAGGUCCGCUGUGAAAACUCGAGGCUCAACCUCGAGACGCCGGUGGAAACCAUCAGACUAGAGUCCGGAAGAGGAGAGUGGAAUUCCUGGUGUAGCGGUGAAAUGCGCAGAUAUCAGGAAGAACACCCGUGGCUAAGGCGGCUCUCUAGUACGGUACUGACGCUGAGACGCGAAAGCGUGGGGAGCGAACAGG
rnacentral:rRNA from 1 species